UAGGGAAUAUUGGACAAUGGGGGAAACCCUGAUCCAGCAAUACCACGUGUGUGAAGAAGGCCUUAGGGUUGUAAAGCACUUUAGUUAGGGAGAAAGUCUAGUGUGUUAAUAGCUCGCUGGAUUGAUGUUACCUAAAGAAUAAGCACCGGCUAACUCCGUGCCAGCAGCCGCGGUAAUACGGGGGGUGCAAGCGUUAAUCGGAAUUAUUGGGCGUAAAGAGUUCGUAGGUUGUUAGAUAAGUUAGAUGUGAAAGCCCUAGGCUUAACCUAGGUAGUGCAUUUGAUACUGUCUGGCUAGAGUUUGGUAGAGGAGUGGGGAAUUCCCGGUGUAGCAGUGAAAUGCGUAGAUAUCGGGAGGAACACCAGUGGCGAAGGCGACACUCUGGGCCAAAACUGACACUGAGGAACGAAAGCGUGGGGAGCAAACAGG
rnacentral:rRNA from 1 species